UACGUAGGGGGCAAGCGUUGUUCGGAAUUACUGGGCGUAAAGGGCGCGUAGGCGGCCUGUUAAGUCGGACGUGAAAUCCCUCGGCUCAACCGGGGAACUGCGUCCGAUACUGGCGGGCUUGAAUUCGGGAGAGGGAUGUGGAAUUCCAGGUGUAGCGGUGAAAUGCGUAGAUAUCGUAAGGAAGACCAGUGGCGAAGGCGGGUCUCUGGACAGUUCCUGACGCUGAGGCACGAAGGCCAGGGGAGCAAACGGG
rnacentral:rRNA from 1 species